AAAUCUCACAUAGAAAGGUGCGUGGGUAUGUUAGUAUACCUAUACUUGGGUGGUGCCCUGUUUCAAUCAGUGGUCACGGUUAUUAAGAGGAACAAAUGGGUAAUUAAAAAUAAAAUUAAGGCAUAACAGUGGGUCACCUUUCAACUUCAGCUCAGAUCCAGGUUCUCGGGUCCGGUGUGGCGGCAUGAGUCCUGAUUGGGCUCUGGAUAGUCAAGUCCCUUGCAUGUCAGAGCCUCUGGGGAUGAAGGGUUCAAUGUUGUCCAGAUCCCAAG